CAUACUUUUGUCUAGUUCUAUCACACAUGCGCAUUACAAAAAAAUGUCUUUCGUUUUCUGCAUAUAAUGCAAAAUCCGAAUAAACUGAUGAAGUUAAAGAAGUAAACAUUUAUUUUAAUUGUUAUUCUUUAAUUAAAAAAUUUGUUAAUUAUAAUUUUUAGAAAAGUUAGUUUAAAACUACUCCAAAACCCUUGGCAUUGGAAACUAACAUAUAGCUAAUUAUCUGGAUUAAUUUGAGUUAAAAUAACCUAAAAAAUGGCCCAAUUCUCAGCUCUUUAUUUAGUACCCAAACUCACUCAGGCUUGCUCUGGACUCGCAGCAAUGUUUCUGCUCGGACAUCUUUGUUUCAGCACCGAUUAUAAAAAGAUAUCGGACAACAGAGAAAAAUCCAGGCAACAGCGCUUGACAAGGCAGUCUUUAGUUACUAAUUAAGCAAGGCUCAUAGUGUGGAAAAAAAAAAUGUUCACCUAUUUUAAUUCUGAAGUCAAGAAGUAGCUGUUUGAAACUUAUUUAUAUAAAGUAUGAUUAGAAUUCUUUCUGAAAAGUUAUUUCAGUUCAAUGGGAAAAUUCUUUUUGCAGAUAAAAAGUGCGAGACAUUUUAAUGUCCAUCACAUUUUUUGUACAUUUUGAAUAAAUGUUAAUAUAAAUAAAAACUUUUUUCUGUA